AAGAUGAGCGCUUCCUCACUAACCACCGCAUCAGAAGAAAAACACCAGAUAAGCAGAUGUUGCUUAGGCAGCGAUCAGCUAGGCAGUGUGUGUGCGUAUGGGGGAGAGGGAUGGAGAUACAGUCAGGCAGCGUAUGUAUUAAGGCACUGUGGUGAGUGUGUGUGUGGCUGCAAGUGACGGCAAAUGUGUGUGCGUGUGCGAGAAAAUGACACAUGAGCAAACCCGAGCUGCUCCAGUGAGUAUUUUGUAUGUAUUUUUAAGAGAAAGCAACAAGAAGCAGCCAGGGGAGAGAGACUGAAAAGGCAAGGUAGGAAUGACCAGGCAAUUGCGUGGCUAACAGCAGCACAAGGUACAUACAGAAAAAACCCCAAAACAUCAGGCUUGAUGGAUUCUGGGUCGGGACUGUUGUGAAGAGUUCUAACUCCCUGUGGAUUUGGUUUCAGUAUCACUGGUCAGAACAUGCCAAAAUGUGGGAAUUUAUAAUUAAAAUUUUAAGAAGGGGAUGGGUGUACAGGUCUCUGAAUUAUGGCAACAAAAGGUUCAAGCUGAAAUAAACACUGAAGUCUCAUACGGGGUGAGAAGAGUGCUUGACUGUUUCCUGAUGGUGAUCCUCUCAACAGUGAUGAAAAUCAGCUAGAGGUAAAUAAAAUUAAACGUUCUCUUUAUGAUAAAUGAGAAACCUGAUCUUAGUGCCCACUUAUUUUUAACCUCACAGUUGCACUCUAUUUGUCGACAACCUGGGGGGGGGGGGGAGGCAGAGGUGCUAGAGGCUCUGGUAUUUUGUUUUUCCCAGGGCUUGAAAUUGGCCUUGGGUGCUGCGUACCUGGGUGAUAAAUGUGUUUCCAUCUUCUCUGAAGAUGCCUAGCAUCUGCAUUUCUCUUUGCUCUGUAAAGCCACCUCCUUUCCACUGCUUAACUAAGCUCUCAGAUGUUAUUUGAACAAAGAGGUGCUGUUAUUUAGGCAAGAAAACCAGAAAUAAGGCCAGCGUGUUUAUUCUCUUCCUUCAAGUGUAUAAGUCCUUUGACUAAUGGUGACAAGAUUUCUGUUCCUGUUGAGUUGCUAGCUUCUUCACAGGUGCUACCGAAUAAAUACAUCAGUUUGGAAGAUGAUUUCUUACAACCGUCUGGCAAAUUGCAGUGACACGGUCAACUCAUUUCUCAUAUGCCUUUAUCAGAUAGCUACCAGAUUAAAGACUAAAUGAACAACACCUACUUCGAUUAGAUACCAGAUUAAAGACCAAAUGAACAAUACUUACUUGGAU